rnacentral:rRNA from 1 species
UGGGGAAUAUUGGACAAUGGGCGAAAGCCUGAUCCAGCCAUGCCGCGUGUGUGAAGAAGGUCUUCGGAUUGUAAAGCACUUUAAGUUGGGAGGAAGGGCAGUAAAUUAAUACUUUGCUGUUUUGACGUUACCGACAGAAUAAGCACCGGCUAACUCUGUGCCAGCAGCCGCGGUAAUACAGAGGGUGCAAGCGUUAAUCGGAAUUACUGGGCGUAAAGCGCGCGUAGGUGGUUCGUUAAGUUGGAUGUGAAAUCCCCGGGCUCAACCUGGGAACUGCAUUCAAAACUGACGAGCUAGAGUAUGGUAGAGGGUGGUGGAAUUUCCUGUGUAGCGGUGAAAUGCGUAGAUAUAGGAAGGAACACCAGUGGCGAAGGCGACCACCUGGACUGAUACUGACACUGAGGUGCGAAAGCGUGGGGAGCAAACAGGA